UGUUCUACUUUAUACAUUGUCACCUAAUGUUUCUGCGUACGUGAGAAAGUUGCACCUCCUGCAUGUACAGGGGUGGUCAAAAGUUCCCAGGUCACUAUCCCAUGUAUAUUUAUGAAAGCAUGGCCUGGGAACUUUUGACCAGGACUGUAUCUCGAAUGCUCAGUGCAUGUGCAUAGAUAUGCAGUGCUGAUUGCGUACAGGCAUCACUUUUCUAUGGCAGUGCAAAACGUGCACUGUACUAGAGUACUUUGGGUAAGUGUGCGUUUGAAAAAGUUCACCCUGUAGCUUUUCCUUCAUUGCAAGGAAUAGUUGCCUGCGAGUAUAAGAGCUCUGAUUUCUUAUUUAGCUCAAACUUUCAAGACCAAAGAUGUGAAAAAUUUCGACCAUACGAGCACUGACUUCCAACUGGAAUUUUCGUCGGGGUACUGCAUUUGUAAGGGUAACAAUGCACCUGCGCCACGCCACCUUCACAAAUCCCAAAACCCUAAAGUGAUAACCGGCAAGCUUACAUAGUGAAACCCACCGGUUACAUUCAAAACUGAAAACUCCGCAGAGAAUUAUUCAUCUGUUGCUAUCCCACGCUACACUUACAGGGCAAUAGACAGCAGACUGAUACACUGUUGAUCAACCGAGGCUAUUUCUGCUGCGUUUAUCAUUUCCCCCAUUCUUCGGUCAGUAGGAGUGUAGAGUACUGCACACCUUUCAAAUUCAGGCAUACAUCCACAGCUUUGGCAAUGCUUCAUAUCUCGUGAGCUCGCUAGUUAUCACUUCGGAUCUUUGCGAUUUGCAGAGUGGAGCAGGUGCACGAUUAUUGUUAUAAAUAUGCGUCCAAACCAUUAAAAUUCAGUUGUAAGUUGGCGCUUACGUGUUUCGCAACGUUUUGUGUCCCUGCUCUUGGAAGCACGAGGAAUAUUGAUGUGGCUGCAGGAGAGCUCUGGUAAGCGUGACACUGUCACUGCCGUAAAGCAUCACACGUGCAUAGGACAACAUUGACGCAUCACGCCUAAUUACCAUGAAUGCGGACUUUUGUAAACGCUGGCUUUGCAGACACUGAAAACAAAGAAGCGGGCGAACAAAUGUCGUGGGUCACCAGCUUCAAAUUUUUACAAGUAGUAUUUUGGACAUGGUCAGUUGUGACAUGCUCAAAUAUUGAAGUACGUGACAAAUUAUGCCAGAAAUGAAAAAUCUCGCCUGUUUUUCGUGUGCCAUUUGAGCUCUCUGUCUUUUAGAAUAGUCGCCAAGUUUAUUUAUCUGUUUCUGGUGUCUAUGUUAGUUUCGUGAUUACGUCAAUGAUUGGGACCAUCUGUUAACCAAGUGUACAUCUUUCCAAAUAACUAUUUUUAACGUGUUUAUGAGGUGACGUUAAAUGUGACGCUCUGCAGCAGCUUUAGGAGUUUCUUUCACGUUACGACUGAUACAACGGCUCCUGCUCAUUUUUACCGAUCGUGCAAGAACUGAGCACAAUCUUUGUGGUCAUGCCAGAUCCAGUCCUUGCAAUGUGUGCUGCGGAAGCCUGUCAUUUUUAUUCCUUGCCAAAUGAGAAUACUGCACUUUUCACAAUGUUCAACCACAGCACCAUCAUUGCACGAAGGUUCACUUAGCGUGUGUUCAGCUUUUCACUUGCGCUGAGAACUGACAUUGUACGCGUAUCUGUGAUAAGAAAUGAGGCAGGCAAUUUCUCGCUGAACACAUGUACUGCCAUUACUCAUAGUUUUCCCUACGAGUUCUUGGGUUGUGCCAUGUUCCACACAACUGCUAGCUUUUGUAAUAUUUAUUCCUGAAGCUGGAGCCUCCAAUUAUCAUGGGAGUGAUAGUCACACGAGUGAUAAUCACGCGAGUGAUGACUGCACAGCAUGUUUAUAAUGGCAAGGCGGUGAUUUCAGCGACAGUUUGUGUAAGCCUGUAAAAGCACCCCUCACUGCUAGCACUGUCGGCAAUGCUGCUCUCCUUGGGAGCACAUGUACCCUGCCAGCGUUAUCAAGGCACUUCUCAUCACUAGGAAAAAAAUAUAUAUAUUCGGAAUAAUCGAGGUUGAAUGAAUACAAGGUUCCUAUUAGUAUACCGUAAUACUGCUUAGCCAGUGGUAACCAGCAUUGGCAAACAUUUAGUUGAUGUUGAUGCUUGCAAUGUGAGCAGGUAUAGUAGUUCAUUUAGAUUGUAAAUAACGAUUACAGCAUGUCACCGUACCCUAUUAUGAAAAGCUGCUGAAACAGGUACAGCAAGACUCUGUCUUCAAAGUUCCGCACUAACAGGUGUACAACUAAAACAUGUCUGUAACAUGUUUGUCAAGCGUCUAGUAAUACUGGUAAUAAUAAUUGUUUGGGUUUUACGCCCAGAAACUAUGAUAGGAUUAAAAAAGGCAGCAUGAUGAAGGACAGUAUUUUGUCUACCCGAAGUUCAUUAACAUGCACCUAAAUCCAAAUACACAGGCCUCUAGAAUUUCGUUUUCAUAAAAAUGCAUUGUCAUGUGUGUAUACAACUCCAUAUUCACUAUAUAUAGAAAAUUUUGAUUACAAAUGUUUCACGAAGUCUUCCACGUUGCCCUUCCGUGAUUAGACACUCUGACCGGUAAGCUUUCUGUUGUGCUGAAGAAAAUGGGUACCGUGAAAAUUGGUAGGUAGUUGGUUCCUUUAACAGAGCAUAAGCGAUGAUUUUCAGUACCUGUUGUUGCAUGGUGUUGGCUACUCAUUUUUUGUCACUGGUGAAUAUGUCUCGAUAACCUAGGCAGGGCAUGCACAAUAGAAAAGCAAAAGCCUAAGCCAAAUGCGCUCGGGAUGGAGCUGCAUUGUGUGCUCUCUUGCUUUUACAAGGCAUUGACAUGCUAUCUAGGCAAUGCUCACUCAACACCACAAAAGGCAAUAGUAUUUAGGAAGCUGCUCUUCUUCGGGUUUACAUUACGCAUUUGCGUAAUGAUAAGAACUCGGCCUCUUUGUGGAGAUGCAUAGCAUGAGGUUCUCUAUUGAGAUAGGGGUUGCUUUUUGUAAAGCUUUGUUCAUCAGGAACAAAGCGGACUGAAACUACAUGAUCAGGAAAGCGUUAAUAGUUAACUGAAAAUUUCUGUUAAUUCAAACUGACACCCUGGUCCCGGCAUAAUUUGAAUGGUUCAAAGACGUUGCUAUCCACAACAACUAAUUCCAACUGGGAGCCCCCUGGCUUUUACCGUUCCUUGCAGCAGUCGCGCCAGAGUGAGGUCAAUGUGUUGGGAAACUAAACCGAAUUCACUAGAGACGAGAAAUGGUGAAACAGCAGCGUUUCUCGGGAGAUGAGAAUUCAGACACUUUGCUGGAGCUUUUCGGUAAGCUGCAAAUGACGUGCAUGGAGUUCCAACCAAAGAAAAGCAAAUGCAAAUUACUGGUUACAUUUAACAUUGAUGGCAUUUACUCUGUCACGUAAAUUAACAUGUAUUAAGUAUAAAUAGCAUCAUAUUUGACAUUAAAACACACUGCUCACAUAAGUGUAUGUCUGUGCUUGUUUCUGGCAUAUCGCUGACUGAUAGAUUACCCCUAUUUGCUGUUAGAGCUCCACGAACUUAAUUUACGGAGUCACUUUCUAAGAACAUGCAGUAGCUCCUAAUUUGUCAUAACGAGUCUAGAGGUCGCUUCUUUGGCUUCUGCCCACACAGUGUGGCACUAUGUCCAUUCAUUCUGGAGCCCGCUCGCUAAUUUGAACUGCGCUUAGUUCACAGAUUAUCAUAGUACUCCUCGAGUUCCAAUUAAGGAAACUCGAGCCAAAGUGAUUGCGAGCCCGUGAUUCUGGAUAAGCGAACGCGCUCUCUAACCACCAGUGCACAUCCCUUAGCUGCUAAUGUAAUACUGCUAAUAAAAAGUUUAGACAUCGGCAAGCUCCAGUAUCACAUACAUUGAGUCUGUAAUGACAUGUGUAAAAAUGCCGCAUUGUGCAUAGAGAAUGGGCACAGAACUUCUGCUCAUGCGCGCUAUGCUAACCACAAGAUUCUUACACAUGCAGCACCAUUACGGACGCAAAAUACGGAGCACUAAAACUCACGGCUUACUGGCUUAGCAGCUUUAUGAAAGUUUCUUCCAUUCUGUGUGCUACUCCUUCAUAAUCAAUUUAACCAAAGUGAUGUUUUAUUGAAUUUGCCUGUGCAGAUCGUUGAGUAAUUUCUCCUCAUCAUAUUUAAUUCUGUGGUCUUUAUUCUGUGGUUCUGCUUUGCUGUAUCCCUGCAGAGAUUCAGUGGCAGAUAGGAUGUGUGACUAAUUAUGGCAGCUGGGUUACCAACAUUUGGAAAUUCUGAAUCACUACAGUGUGCCCUGAACUGUUAGACGUAGAUGUUUGUAGCGACGUACGUCACUCAUUGUUUGUUUUAUCCUGACACAUUUGAUAGCUGUUCACAGAAUAAGUGCAUCCUGUUUUCAAACAGAUUGUGACACUAGUAGAGGUGCGCGAAUGUCGAUUUCAGAGACAUGAAAAUUAUGGUUUUUCUUUGGCAAUGUUAGUAUUCUAAUGUCCAUAACUGUAGCAUUGAAAUAGCAUAUACAGCAUCGGGAGCAACUAAGCAUAUUCUUUGCUUGCUUCAGAGAGAGUGCAAGAUCGUUGUGUAAGCAUGGCUUCCCUAGCAACAUGGCCUGCUGUAUUGUGUGAGGCGUUAUAGCUUAUGUCUAUGCUAUGCCUGCACGCUUGCUGUGAGGAAGUCAGUUCUACUUUUGCGCAGACUUUGUGUUCAUUUACUUUACAGCAGCUAUUUGACUGUAAGUUGAAAUGGGGUACUAAUUGAUUUGCAAUUCAAAAAUUUCAAAUAUUUGCACACCCCAGGAACCUGGACUUGAUCUCAAUGGGUGCAUGAAUGUUAGGCAGAUGCAUGCGUGCUGACCAUCAGUCGUGUAGUCACUGCCGACAUGAUGGUGUGAAAGUGAUUCUGUAAAUAGAAAGUGCUUAGUGACUACCGUAUCUCUAGCGAAGCAUUUCAUUCUACCAUUCUUUCUGACUGCUUUACUUACAAAGGCAGGCAACACUGCGCAAGCCAUUUGUUCUAUUACUGCGUGUUUUAGUGUUGCUUUUAUUUACUCGGCAAGGGAAACAGUUUUUGUUUACUGUUAUAAUUUGUCAAUGAACCAAAAGAAACUGCAAUUUUAACUCUUUGAUGUGUAUGCAUUUGUGCCAUUCUCUUGUGAUUACAAACUUUGCAGCUAUAAUCACUUUACUUGCAUCUCAGUGCUUGUGAUAAAUUGCCACAGUUUGCUAGGAAAAAUGCUGUAAGGAUUGUAAAUAGUUGGCAAAUUUACUCAGCCAACUUCGUGUGCCAACAGACUGGGCAAUAAAGUGCGAUGCGCAUAUUUCGUGAAUUCAAAGCCUGA
rnacentral:lncRNA from 1 species